rnacentral:lncRNA from 1 species
GACAAAAUUAGAAUUUGUCGCUAUAAAUACACAUUUAGCAACAAAACUCAAAUUUUGUCACAAAUAGUCAAGAAGUUAAAUCUUUACAUUUAGAAUUUUAGCUACACAGAUUUGGCAACAAAUUAUUUUUUGUCGCCAUUAGUCACACUCCCAUGACAAAACUAAUUGGCAACGAAGAUUUUGUCAAUAAUAUAUGUUUUGGCAUCAACAUAUUUAGUUUGGUGCUAAAACUUUUGGCAACGAAAAUUUAAUUCGUUGCUAAUGUAUGUCUUUAGCUACGAAAUAUUUGUUGAUAAAAAUGUUAAUUAAAUAUUAAUUUAUUUCUUAAGUAUUUGGCAAUGAAAUAUUUUUUAUGUUGCUAUAACACACUUGAGGCAACAAAGACAAUUUUGUUGCUAAAAAACUUGUUGCUAAAGGCCUUAAUUCUUGUAGUGGGUGUAAUCUUAAAAAUUUAAGUUUCAUUUUGCAUUAAUGUUGAUUUACUAGUUUUAUAUUGUAUCUGUAAGUUUUUAUUUUAUUUACCAAUAAGACACCAAUUUGCUAGUUUUAUAAUAAUUUACUUAUUUUACUUUCCAUUUACAAGUCUUGUGUUUUAUAUUCAAAAUUUAUAUUUUAUUUUAAACUUGAUUUACUUGGUUUACAUUAUAUAUGUAAGUUUUUAUUUUAUUUACCAAUAAGACACCAAUUUGCUAGUUUUAUAUUAAUUUAUUUGUUUUACCUUUUAUUUAUAAGUCUUAUAUUCCAUUUUUAGAAUUUAUGUUUUAUCUUGUACUUAUUGUUAAUUUACUGGUUUUAUAUUAUAUUUGUAAGUUUUUGUUUUGUUUACUUGCAACACAUCAAUUUACUAGUUUUACUUUCCAUUUCCAAAAUUUAUGUUUUAUUUUGCACAUAGUGUUGAUUUACUAGUUUUAUGUUAUACUUCUAAGUUUUUGUUUUGUUUAUUCGUGAUACAUCAAUUUACCAGUUUAUAUUAAUUUAUUUGUUUUACCUUCUAUUUAUAAGUCUUAUGUUCUAUUUCAAAGAUUUUUGCUUUAUUUUACAAUUCAUGUUGAUUUUUCAUAAAUUUACAAAUCUUAUGUUUACAUAAUUUAUCUUUAAUUGCGAUAUCAAUGUUGUGAUUUUAAUCAUGGCACCACAUAUUAACUCAAUUUCUUCAUGUCUAAUAAAAAUUAACCUAUGGCUGGAAGAAUGGUUGUUAAUCCAUGACUAAAUUUGAUUUAAGUUAACUAUAGACUAAUCUAAGUGAAACAUGUCAAAUAUAUAUUAAAUAAAUAUUUUGUCGACUAGUGCCACACAUCUCAAAUUUUUUUUUCCUAAUAUUUUAGUCCCACAUAAUGUGGUUUUCAUUCACUAAUCUUGAGAUGAUGUAAUUAAUUCAAAUAGAAUUGAUAAAAUGUCAUUGAUCACUUAAUAAAUGACACAUCACAUCUCACAACAUUUGGAAUAAAAUUUAAAAUUUCUAUCAUUACUUAUAUUUUAUCUCCAAAGUUAAUCCAAACUUGUACUUAGUUCCAGAACAGGAUAGCCUUACACCAUGUAACAAACACAUCGCGUUAAAUGCCAAUGACUCUAUUAAAGGACAGUUUGCACGCAUAGCUAUUGCAUAGGCGGUUCCAACUAUAUUUUAAUACCAUGGCAAGCUCAUUUGUAUUUGGUACAUGACUGGGUGAUUUUAGGUCUUGUCAUGGCUUUGGGGGCUUGCGCUGCUCAAGCUGCCUUUGGAGCUCGAGCUUUCUUUGUGCUUGGUGAUUCACUUUGGCAGUCAUUAUUUCUACUUGAAAAAUAUAUAUUAAUUGAUAAAAAAAAAAAAAAAACAACGAGAUAACAGUUUAGAUAUAUGUAUAUUUUUUACAUGUGCAUUAACACUAUAACAAAAAUGGUUAUUUCCGAGAGCAAAUACCUUUAUACGUCCUCGGAAAAAUUUAUAUUUGAAAAAACUUCACCGUCGACUUUUAUUGUAUUAAGUCGCAUAAGAGAAAGUGUUUCUUCGAUGGAUCGUUGGAGAACAAAUUAAUUUUUGACGGCAAAAUUAUUAAGAAUAACAUGAACUAU